CAGCCUCUACCUCGCCCAGGCCCCGCCCACCUCCUCGGGGGUCCCGCCCAGGUCAGGCUUCUGCCCUGCGCGCGCAGUUUCGCGCAAACCCGGAAGCGGAUCGCGUGGAGUAAAGGUCCUACAACCGCGCCCCCACACUUUUUAAAGUCCUCACCUGAGAGGUGGAUUUCCGCCCUGGGCGUCUCCCAGCCUCACCCUCGCCGGACCCUGGAACGCAGCCCCGCGACCCCAGUCCCAGGUUCUCACUCUGUCCUCCAGACUGUGAGUGCAGUCUCGUGAUCUUGGCUCACUGCAACCUC